GACGAACGCUGGCGGCGUGCCUAAUACAUGCAAGUCGAGCGAAGUUUUUCUGGUGCUUGCACUAGAAAAACUUAGCGGCGAACGGGUGAGUAACACGUAAAGAACCUGCCUCAUAGACUGGGACAACUAUUGGAAACGAUAGCUAAUACCGGAUAACAGUAUUUCUCGCAUGGGAGAUAUUUAAAAGUUGGUUAUGCUAACACUAUGAGAUGGCUUUGCGGUGCAUUAGCUAGUUGGCGGGGUAAAGGCCCACCAAGGCGACGAUGCAUAGCCGACCUGAGAGGGUGAUCGGCCACACUGGGACUGAGACACGGCCCAGACUCCUACGGGAGGCAGCAGUAGGGAAUCUUCCGCAAUGGGCGAAAGCCUGACGGAGCAACGCCGCGUGAGUGAAGAAGGAUUUCGGUUCGUAAAGCUCUGUUGUUAGGGAAGAAUGGAUAUGUAGUAACUAUACAUGUAAGAGACGGUACCUAACCAGAAAGCCACGGCUAACUACGUG
rnacentral:rRNA from 1 species